GCCCUCCCCAUGCCCCAUCCUGGCCGCUGCUUGUUCCUCAUCUGGGGAGUCCCUACCAACUAUGCCUUGGAUAUGGAGCUUCAGGAGAAGUGAAAAGGUGGACAAAUAGGAGAAAAGUAGCAUGUACUUCAAACCAUGUGGAAGCAAAGCAGAAACAGCAAAACAUCAAUUGAUAAUGCCCUCCUGAAAGAAGGCCAAGAGCUCUUCCAACGGUGAAAUUGGCUAUGAUGUCUGCAUAAAUAUUGCUGAACUUCUGCAUCAUGAGAAUGCUACGAUCAACUGCAAGAGCAAUAUACACUCUUCUUUCUCAAACAACUUGCUGAAACAAGAAUAAAAAGUCUCCUUUCAUUCAAAAAGUUUCUGCCAAAAAUAUGAGACAGUCAAGAGUCCAAUUGCAGAGUCCCUAUACCAGUGCAUGCUCCAUGGGUAACAAACAGGAGAAGCUGGUAGCCACUGUCCAUCUGGAAAGCUGUGAUUUGUUUGCUGCCACUGACACUUGGUGGGAUGAAUCACAUGACUGGAGCACAGCAAUUGAUGGCUGGAAGCUGUUCAGAAGGGACAAGAAAGGAAAGGUCAGGGAUUACUCUUCAUGUGUUUAAAAAAAAAAAAAAAAAAGGAAG